AUACGUAGGUGACAAGCGUUAUCCGGAAUUACUGGGUGUAAAGGGUGCGUAGGCGGGACUGCAAGUCAGAUGUGAAAUGCCGGGGCUCAACCCCGGAGCUGCAUUUGAAACUGUGGUUCUUGAGUGAGGUAGAGGUAAGCGGAAUUCCUAGUGUAGCGGUGAAAUGCGUAGAUAUUAGGAGGAACAUCGGUGGCGAAGGCGGCUUACUGGGCCUUUACUGACGCUGAGGCACGAAAGCGUGGGGAGCAAACAGGAUUAGAUACCCUGGUAGUCCACGCUGUAAACGAUGAUUACUAGGUGUGGGGGGACUGACCCCUUCCGUGUCGCAGUUAACACAAUAAGUAAUCCACCUGGGGAUUACGGCCGCAAGGUUGAAACUCAAAGGAAUUGACGGGG
rnacentral:rRNA from 1 species